ensembl:lncRNA
UGCCGACGUGCAGACAGCUGGGGAAACUUAACAGACACGUCUACAAACUCCUCGUGCUGAAAUUCCGUCCUCGGGCAAUGCUGUUACGAUCCUGACACUUGAUCCUAUAGAUUCUGGCCACAGGUUCGUUUAUAAUCUUGGACAGCCAAGACACCCAAAGCUCACCCUCUUUCUGAACACACGGAGAACACUCUCUGCCAUGAACCUGAAAGCUUAAUCUGGGAGCCAGCAGACCAAACCACGCUGUUGCCAGGCAACACCCCAGUUUUGGUUAAACCUGUACGACGGAGAUCAGCACCGGGAGAAAACAUACGUGAACAAAAGGAAUAAAAGGACUCUAGUUUUUGUACUUAUUUAUUCAUUCAUUUGGCCACGUUGCAUCCCGUCGCAGCAGGCAGGAUCUUUCACUGCUAAGUGUGACUUCUCUAGGUGCGGUGCCCGGACUCGGUGGUUGCAGUGAGUGGGUUCUCUGCAGUGGCUCAUGGGCUCCGGAGGGC